rnacentral:rRNA from 1 species
CGCAUCUGUGCAUGCAGCAUAUCAAUAAGCGGAGGAAAAGAAGCUAACAAGGAUUCCCCUAGUAACGGCGAGUGAAGCGGGAAGAGCUCAAAUUUGAAAUCUUAAAGGGUUUCCCUUUACGAAUUGUAGUUUAAAGAAGUGUUUUCUGUUGAGGUUUUGGUAAAAGUUCUUUGGAAUAGGACAUCAUAGAGGGUGAGAAUCCCGUAUUUGACCUUUACUUUCAACUUUGUGAUACACUUUCAAAGAGUCGGAUUGUUUGGGAAUGCAGUCCAAAAUGGGUGGUAAAUUUCAUCUAAAGCUAAAUAUUGGCGAGAGACCGAUAGCGAGCAAGUACCGUGAGGGAAAGAUGAAAAGAACUUUGAAAAGAGAGUUAAACAGUACGUGAAAUUGUCAAAAGGGAAGCGUUUGACACCAGUGUUGUUUUUCUGAAAAUCAAUUAAAGAACUGUUUAUGCUAAGCUUGUUUAGACUUUAUCAGCUAAUCUGUUUAGUUUUGAGCUUUUCUUUAAUGCACUUUUCAGUUAACAAGUCAACAUCAAUUUCUUUUGCUGUAAAAAAGCUUGAGGAAGGUGGCUUGAGAUUCGUCUUAAGUGUUUAUAGCCUCUUGCCUAUGCAGUCGGAGAGAUUGAGGUCUGCAGCGUAGAUCCUUCGGGGCUAAAUGCAUUUGUGCUAAGUUAUAGCAUUUUAUAGACAACUUGUUGACUAUGAUUUGUCUUGUAGCUUACUCGCUUAUGUUAUUUUACCUACGCUUAGGAUGUUGAGUCAUCACACAUCUCU